GCAAGUAGGUACAAGUUCAUGGAGUCACACUGUGACUGAGAGGUGGAAGAGGUGGUUGCUGCAGCAUAUCUGUGCAGGCCAUGCAGAGUGUGGGAGUCUGUGGGGGCAGCCAAGUAGAUUGUACUGUAUCUACCUCCCAUAGGGAGGUGGUAACCAGGAGGCAGUUGUAUAAAGCAGAUGCCUGGAUCAGCCACCACUCUGAGGAACUGGGAGGAGGUGGGGAACUGGAACUUGUGUCAAGGGAGACUGAGCCCUGCUUCUGAUAUGAGAAAGUUCAAUAUCUAUUCAAAAUGGAUUCUGAGGCAACGUGAAAUUAUAAGAAUUCACUACACAUACACACAUUAGACAUUUACCAUGAUAAUGAUGAGAGACGCUGAUAAAUGAGGUCUGUUUUAAAUUUAAGCUUUUCACCAGGGCAUUGUUUGAAUGGCUGUGUUUCUUGUAUCUUAGGACUCAUAAUGCCAGUGGCAUUUACUCUUUUAUGAGAAUGGGGUAUCAAUUAGUAAGACAGUAAAGCUUAAAUACAACAUUUAACAACAUUUAACAGUGUUACAAACAAACACAUUUAAAAAUCUUCAGGGUAUCUUUCCCUCUCAAGAACCUGAAUCUCUGUCAAGAGCCUACAUCACAUUAACAAUUAAGAUGAUAGUAGAAUCAACAAACUCCCCGUUACUAGUUCUGGUCACAUUUAUUUAGAUAUAAUAACAUCUACCUGUGUGCAUACAGUCAGAAUAUGACAAGAUGUAAUAAAUGUUGGUAUGAUAGCAGCUUCUAUGUAUGUGUGUGUAGCAGAGAUUCCAGCUUGAACUUAAAGUUCUAUAGUUUUAUUGACAAUUCCACCCUCGCCUGCCAUUGGAUUAUCAGGAGCUUGUCUUGGCACAAAUCCAGUCUCCCAAACACGCCCAGACAUGUUGAAACAAUGUAAUAUUCUACAGCUUGUAAUUUAGUAUAGUUAAUGGUGUUAGUCUUCUACAUAACAUACGUAUAAAAGUGAAAGGUUUUUCUUCUACUUUCUCCAGUAGAUCCUUUAUUUCCAUGUUGGUCUCUUUGUGUUACCAAAAGUUUAGAAAUUCAUAUAGGCCCUGGGACAGAAAAAUUAGUCCCUGGUUGGCCUAGUUUCCUUAGUAUUUUAGCUUAAUGAUUUAAUCCUGUAUUCCAUCAUUUUAUUUCAUUUUAUUUUAUUUUAUAUUUUAUUUUAUUUUCUGAGACGGAGUCUUGCUCUGUUACUCAGGCUGGAGUGCCGUGGCAUGAUCUUGGCUCACUGCAAUCUCCGCCUCCCAAGUUCAAGCAAUUCUUCUGCCUCAGCUUCCCGAGUAGCUGGGAUUAGAGGUGUGCACCACCACACCAGGCUAAUUUUUUUAUUUUUAGUAGAGAUGGGGUUUCGCCAUGUUGGCCAGGCUAAUCUCUAACUCCUGUCCUCAGAUGAUCUGCCUAACUUGGCCUCCCAAAGUGCUAGGAUUACAGGCUUUUAAUGUAUUCUUUUAAUUCCGGAACUUGGUUCUGAUUUAGCCAUCUAACUACUAGGAAGUACUUUUGAAGUAUAAUACUGCAAGGAGACAUAGACCAAAGAAAGGCAUCACACACAGGAUUUUCUGUUUGGAGAUUUGCAAAAUACAAUAGAAGCCUGAUUAAAUGAUUAAUGGGACAGAAUAUAAUAUAUCUAAAGAAUGCACUCAUUAAAAGUUUCUGCACAAAUGAGUUAGAUAGCUUACUCCAGUGUCUUACUCAAAGGAAAACAUUCUAAUGCAUUCACAGACAUACACGCACACAAAAGGAAUCCAAACUGAUGACAGAUGGAUGCAAUUGCUAUUGGGAAAGAAGUGGCAGUUUUAAUAGUUCAUUAUGAUGAUUUCAUUCAAAAUAUAGUACUAGGAUGCUGAAAUUUUUAAAUGACAUGUUACACCAUCAAAUUUCCCAAAAACACAACAGGAAUGCCUUGGAGAUAUUGCCGAUUCAGUCCCAGAUCCCAAAAUGUGACACAGAGACAUGAAGUGAGCUCAUGCUGUUGGGCAAAUGGCACCAAUAGACUUCCUCACUGCAGGGUUGCUACAGAUCUUCAACUUGUAAAAAACACAAUACCUUACUCCUGCAAGAAACGCCAUAGUAAAAAUGAAAUUUAAAAAAAAAGGAGAUUGGCAUGUUAGAUAUGAGUUCUAAAUUUCUUCUCAAAGAAUCAAUAUGUCAGUAUGUUCAAUUCUUUGCCUUCUACUUUUAAACUUAACUUCCUUAUAAAGGGACUUUUUUCAAUUACUUGCUCCACCCUGACUCAUUUC
rnacentral:lncRNA from 1 species